rnacentral:rRNA from 1 species
UACGUAGGGGGCAAGCGUUGUCCGGAUUUAUUGGGCGUAAAGAGCGUGUAGGCGGCUAGGUAGGUCCGUUGUGAAAACUCGAGGCUCAACCUCGAGACGCCGAUGGAAACCAUCUAGCUAGAGUCCGGAAGAGGAGAGUGGAAUUCCUGGUGUAGCGGUGAAAUGCGCAGAUAUCAGGAAGAACACCUAUGGCGAAAGCAGCUCUCUGGGACGGUACUGACGCUGAGACGCGAAAGCGUGGGGAGCGAACAGG